CUAUCAUGUGGGUGGAUCUGUAAAUCACAUACAAUGGAAGUAAAAGGAUGAUUCAGUGUGAAGGUGCCAAGUGGAAUGCAGAUCUAUGUGCUGCAUGGAACAGGAGCUGCCUAAGCUGCACCAAGCUCAGCCAUGUGCCAGAAUCAAGGCCUGAGCAGGCUCUCUGAGCUUUAUUGUCAACUUUAAAUGAUAAGAUAACAGCAGCUUCCUAGAAGAUUGCUUUAAGAAUUGCAGAUUAAUCAUCCAUGAGUGAUGAAAGACAGAUACCAACAAAUGAAAUUAGACUCUCUCUGACUAUCCUCAGAUCAGAAACUCUUGAGGAAGUAGCAUCAACAGCAGAACUAACUUAAACCUAAGAAUCAACUGACAAGAGAUUGAGCUGAUUAUUCAUCACCCUCAGGAACCUCAUUUAACCUUUCUGAGCUUCAUUGUAUUAACUUAUUCUACUGCCAGUUCAUGCUGCUUCUUGAUUGACUCGCCGCCAGACGUCCUCCACAGGCCCCUGAUGGAAUGUUUAAAAGGCCCUCCUGUGGGAAGCAGGGAGAUUUACAGUUAAUUUUUAUUAAUGAAGGAUGACAGGCAUCUCCAUUUAGCCAACAAGAUAUUACACUGGUCCAAGAAAACGCCCCUGUAUUUGGAACAAGCAUCCUUAUCCCAUACCCCAACCCACCUCUCUCUCUCUCUCUCUUUCAUAGACACAGAGUCACAGGCGCACACACACACACACACCCCACACCACACACACACACACACGCAUGCACACACACACACACUCUUAAGCAUACACAUGGGCACCAGGUAAUUAAGAAUACAACAAAUUAAGAAACAAAGGAGAAUAUUUGCUUUUUUAUAUUCUGGUACUCCCCUAUCAAAAGAGAAAGGAAGGAAUGGGGAUUCUGUGAGUCUGGGGAUGGGUGAGUGGUGAGGGUCCGAUAGCAAAUGCUGCUCAUUCCUGCUGCUGCUUCCUGUUACUCGUCUGCAUUCCUACAUCUCAGCCCCCACCCCAUAUUCAUUCCCACUCUAGAGAAUUCGCUGCCAUUUCCGAAAUGAAUUAGGAUGCCACAUUAGUUUUGUAACUGGCCUAGUUACCCACCCUUGUGCUUCUUUGAUUUACUUCUCACCAUGCAGCAAGAAUUUUUUUUCGCCAUAAUCUGUUGCAUUUGUUCUCUGAUAAAAACCUUCAGGGAUUCUUUAGGCUUUCCAGAUCAAUAAAAAUUCCUCAAUAUGACCACCAGGAUACCUUAUGGUAGGGGUCCUGCCAAUAUAUUCAAGAAUUGGUUUAUUUAACGUAUUAAUCUUCAAUAAUUGGUUUAUUUAAAUAUUUAAAUAUCUCUUUUUUAAUCCACUAGUUUUUUGGUAGGAUACCCCCCUCCCACUCACAUAAGUUACUCAUUCUUCUAGGCUCAGUCCCACUCUUGUUAAUUUCAGGAUUAUCCCCCAACAUGAUUUUCUUCCUUCUUUAAGUGACCACUGACUAUUCACCAGUGUUGGGGAUGUAUAUGACUUAUGUCCCCAAUAAAUUCAAAUGUUUGGCAGUUAAGCUUCAUGUCCUAUUUUCACCCCAAUAUGCUGACUCUUUGAGAUAUGCCACCUUCACCCCUCUAAGCUCACUGAGGAAGUACCCUAUCCUGCAGUGUAUGACUUGCUCAUAUCAUCCCUUCCCAAGUGACAGCCAUGACAAACAGCCUGGUUUGAAUUCUAUUCAACCUUAAAUCAACUUAAAGAACAGGUCAUCUCUUAUCUUCUUAUCAUCCCUAUGAAACUUUCUUAUCCAGUAUUUUGACCUCCACUCAUCUCUUCUCUAUUUGUGUAAUAUUUAUAUAGCGUUCCGUAGAGUUUUAGGUAUAACUUAAAUUGUUUUUAAGAGAUGUAUAUUUGUCUGUUCUCAUUCAGUGGAAAAUAACCUCCAUUGGCUAUAGCAUUUUUUAAUCCCUCAGAAUACUAAUCUCAGAGUAGGCAGUAAAUAUAUGAGGAAUUGCUGAAGUGAGGAAUGAGUUAACCAAUAAACCAAUAAUAGUGUUCAGUAAGUAAUAGUUGGACACUUUAAAAAAAUUUUAAUGAACAUAUAGACAUAUAUGUAUAUGUUAUAUGCAUGUUAUAAACCUCAUUUCCCAUUCAUAUUGUUUUGCAAUUUUAAGAACCAUAAUUCUUCUUGUGACCGCUUUUCUGGGGCCACUUCAUGCCUCAAGAUUAGACAAUUAUAAUAUCAUUCUCUAACUGUAUGGGCUCCUCAGGUGUUCUUCACGGGGUUCCUUCAGCUCUUUUUCACACUUCUUUUAUAGAAAAUGGGAUGAAUUAAAUGACCAAAACUAGGAGCUUACUUUUAUAAUGUAGGCUACAGAACUUUACAAAAUCCAAUCGGUAUUUAAAUAGAUGCAAACUUAACUGAAGUUUUCAAACUUCAGGGUACCCACAGAUUAAUUAACCUGGGUGUUUGUUGUCCCUCCAAUAGAAAACUCACAAAUAUUUUAGUUCAGUGUGUUUGGAGGCAUCUCUUAAAUCCCAAUUUUAACAUGCAUGUGAUUCUCUGCAGGUGCUGUGCAAAGCACACUUUAAGAAAAAUUAGUUAGAGAUCAAUUAAAUAGAAAGGUAUGAGUAUGUAAGAGAAAUUAUUAAUCAGCAAAGCUAAACACCCACAAGUUUAUGCUCCAGUUUCCUCUACUACUGUCUAUGGGUCUUUUUCUCCUUCACUAACAAGAAAUUCUCAGUUUUAAAGUUUGUAUCAUUUUAUUCAUAUCUGCACUCCCCAUCAAAAACCAAGGUUAUAGAAUUAACCACUUUCCUGAUGGGAAUUUUCAUUUGCUAAGUCAUAUAACAUCCAAGCUUUAAUUCCAUUAGUUAUAUUUGAUAAUACAGUCUGAAUGGUUGCAGAUGGGUACAAUUGGUAUCUUCAAAUUGUGCUCCUUAAUUCAAAUUAAUCUUCAAUUGGUGGAGCAUAUGUGCAUUUUUUGUCACUGUAUUUCUUAACACUAGGCCUGUUCUAUUUUGUAAAUCUCACAUCCGCCUUCCAUUACCCAACUCUAAAAACACUUAGUAGAGAAAUGUAUACACACAAAAACAUGUAUACAGACACACACAUGCACACACAGAUAUGCACACACACACACCUCUGACUUCCAAAGAAAAAAUUAUUGUACAAUGCCCUAGCCUUAAACCUUACCAAAUCCUUGUUGUUGAUUAUAUUUAUAAAUGGCUUCAAACUUCCCUUAAUGUCACUAUCAUAAAGUCAUGCCUGAGUAAAAUAUUGAAUUGGCACAAUAUAUGCUUUACAUUAAAAAUUUGAUUUGUAGUAAUAAACAGCUAAUUCAAUUAAUUUGAAUUACACUCCUCAACUACGUGAAAUCCAUGUUAAAUUAAUUAAAACAAAAUGUAGAUACAAUAAAAUGCACCCAUUUUAAAUGUACAUUUUGGUGAAUUUUCACAACUGUACACAUAUAUUUACCUACCAUCACAAUUAAAUUUUAGAGCAUUUCCAUUAACCCCAAAUUUGUCUUGCACACCUUAAAAUUCAUUCAAUCUUUCUUCCUGGACACCUGGCAUCAGGCAAAUACUGAUCCAAUUAUAGUCUGUUUGCAUUUUCUAUAAUUUUAUAUACUAUAAUCAAAUAGUACAUACAUUUUUAUAUCUGCAUUAAGUUAGUAUGAUUUUUUUUUUUAAGACAGAGUCACUCUGUUGCCCAGGCUGGAGUGCAAUGGUACAAUCUUGGCUCACUGCAACCUCUGCAUACCCAGUUCAAGUGAUUCUCCUGCCUCAGCCUCCUAAUUAGCUGGGAUUAUAGGCACACCCCACCACAACCAGCUAAUUUUUUGUAUUUUUUUAUUUUUAGUAGAGACGGGGUGUCACUAUGUUGGUCAGGCUGGUGACCUGACCUCAUGAUCCACCCUCCUCGGCCUCCCAAAGUGCUGGGAUUACAGGCAUGAGCCACCGUGUCCAGCCAGUUUGAUGUUUUAAAAAUACAGCCAUACCGUUUCAUGUAUCAGUGGUUUGUUGUGCAGUAUUCCAUUAUAUGGAUGACAACAUUUUGUUUAUCUGUUUACCUGUUGAAGAACAUUUGUGUUGGGAGUUAAUUAUAAAUAAAAAUUGUUAGAAAC
rnacentral:lncRNA from 1 species